rnacentral:rRNA from 1 species
AGUGAACGCUGGCGGUAGGCCUAACACAUGCAAGUCGAACGGCAGCACAGUAAGAGCUUGCUCUUACGGGUGGCGAGUGGCGGACGGGUGAGGAAUACAUCGGAAUCUACUUUUUCGUGGGGGAUAACGUAGGGAGACUUAUGCUAAUACAGCAUACGACCUACGGGUGAAAGCAGGGGAUCUUCGGACCUUGCGCGAAUGAAUGAGCCGAUGCCGGAUUAGCUAGUUGGCGGGGUAAAGGCCCACCAAGGCGACGAUCCGUAGCUGGUCUGAGAGGAUGGUCCGCCAGAUGGGAACUGAGAAAGGCUCGAGACUCUUAGGGGAGGCAGCAGUGGGGAAUAUUGGACAAUGGGGGCAAGCCUGAUCCAGCCAUACGGCGGGGGUGAAGAAGGCCUUCGGGUGGUAAAGCCCUUUUGUUGGGAAAGAAGAGCAGCAGGUUAAUACCCCGCUGUUCUGACGGUACCCAAAGAAUAAGCACCGGCUAACUUCGUG